rnacentral:rRNA from 1 species
AGAUUGAACGCUGGCGGCAGGCCUAACACAUGCAAGUCGAGCGGUAGAGAGGUGCUUACAUCUCUUGAGAGCGGCGGACGGGUGAGUAAUGCCUAGGAAUCUGCCUAGUGGUGGGGGAUAACGUUCGGAAACGGACGCUAAUACCGCAUACGUCCUACGGGAGAAAGCGGGGGACCUUCGGGCCUCGCGCCAUUAGAUGAGCCUAGGUCGGAUUAGCUAGUUGGUGAGGUAAUGGCUCACCAAGGCGACGAUCCGUAACUGGUCUGAGAGGAUGAUCAGUCACACUGGAACUGAGACACGGUCCAGACUCCUACGGGAGGCAGCAGUGGGGAAUAUGGACAAUGGGCGAAAGCCUGAUCCAGACCAUGCCGCGUGUGUGAAGAAGGUCUUCGGAUUGUAAAGCAACUUUAAGGUGGAGGAAGGUUGUAACCUAAUACGUAGCAAUUUGACGUUACGACAGAAUAAGCACGG